GUGCUCGCUUCAGCGGCACAUAUACUAAAACGGGCACAGCACAGAGAAGAUUAGCACGGCCCUGCGCAAGGAUGACGCAAAUUCGUGAGGUGUUCCGUGUUUUA
ensembl:snRNA U6 U6 spliceosomal RNA